AGUGAACGCUGGCGGUAGGCCUAACACAUGCAAGUCGAACGGCAGCACAGUAAGAGCUUGCUCUUACGGGUGGCGAGUGGCGGACGGGUGAGGAAUACAUCGGAAUCUACUUUUUCGUGGGGGAUAACGUAGGGAAACUUACGCUAAUACCGCAUACGACCUACGGGUGAAGGCAGGGGAUCUUCGGACCUUGCGCGAUUGAAUGAGCCGAUGUCGGAUUAGCUAGUUGGCGGGGUAAAGGCCCACCAAGGCGACGAUCCGUAGCUGGUCUGAGAGGAUGAUCAGCCACACUGGAACUGAGACACGGUCCAGACUCCUACGGGAGGCAGCAGCGGGGAAUAUUGGACAAUGGGCGCAAGCCUGAUCCAGCCAUACCGCGUGGGUGAAGAAGGCCUUCGGGUUGUAAAGCCCUUUUGUUGGGAAAGAAAAGCAGCAGGUUAAUACCCCGCUGUUCUGACGGUACCCAAAGAAUAAGCACCGGCUAACUUCGU
rnacentral:rRNA from 1 species